rnacentral:rRNA from 1 species
GNCCAUACUCCUACGGGAGGCAGCAGCGGGGAAUAUUGCGCAAUGGACGGAAGUCAGACGCAGCGACGCCGCGUGGGUGAGGAAGGCCUUCGGGUUGUAAAGCCCUUUUCAGGGGAGCGAGAAAGGACGGUACCCUUGGAAUAAGCGUCGGCUAACUACGUGCCAGCAGCCGCGGUAAGACGUAGGACGCAAGCGUUAUCCGGAUUUACUGGGCGUAAAGCGCCUGUAGGCGGUCAAGUAAGUCGGAUGUGAAAGCCCCGUGCUCAACGCGGGGAAGCCAUUCGAUACUGCGUGACUAGAGAACGGCAGAGGGAAACGGAAUUUCUGGUGUAGCGGUAAAAUGCGCAGAGAUCAGAAAGAACACCGAUGGCGAAGGCAGUUUCCUAGGCCGCAUCUGACGCUGAGAGGCGAAAGCUAGGGGAGCAAACAGGAUUAGAGACCCUGGUAGUCCUAGCUGUAAACGAUGGAUGCUAGGUGUGGGCCGGAAAGGUCCGUGCCGUAGUUAACGCGAUAAGCAUCCCGCCUGGGGAGUACGGCCGCAAGGCUAAAACUCAAACGAAUUGACGGGGACCCGCACAAGCAGCGGAGCGUGUGGUUUAAUUCGAUGCUACACGCAGAACCUUACCUGGGCUUGACAUGUAGGUGGUAGUGAAGUGAAAGCGGAGCGACCCUUCGGGGAGCCUACACAGGUGCUGCAUGGCUGUCGUCAGCUCGUGCCGUGAGGUGUCGGGUUAAGUCCCGUAACGAGCGCAACCCUUGUCCUUAGUUACAAGUGUCUAAGGAGACUGCCGGUGACAAACCGGAGGAAGGUGGGGAUGACGUCAAGUCAGCAUGGCCCUUAUGUCCAGGGCGACACACACGCUACAAUGGUCGGUACAAUGGGCAGCGCAGCCGCGAGGUGAAGCGAAUCCCAACAAAGCCGAUCCCAGUUCGGAUUGCAGGCUGCAACCCGCCUGCAUGAAGCCGGAGUUGCUAGUAACCGCGCGUCAGCCAUAGUGCGGUGAUACGUUCCCGGGUCUUGUACACACCGCCCGUCACGUCAUGGGAGUUGUAACGCCUGAGCCGGUAGUCUGACCUAACGGAGACGCCGUCGAAGGCGGG